GUAUAUACGUGAAGCAGAAACCAGAACUUAUCAUCAGAAUAUGAAUGAGGAGGAAGUGGAAGGUGAAACAAGCAAUAGAAUGAAUAUCGAUGAAGAACUAAGAGGACCAGGAGGUGAAGUUCUGGUAAAGCUAAACAAGGGGGUAAAUGUCCUGCUGUUCAGAUUAAAGGUCCUGCAACAAGAAUAGGCCCUUGGCUGUGUGUUGAGAAUUUCCUUACAUCAGUUCGAGGAGGUAAAAAAGAGAUGACCGAUAGAUGUUGAGAAGAUGGUUGCGGAGUACAAGAAACCAUGAACAAUAAAUUAACUCUUGGCUUUUCUGAACAUGAAUGAAAUCUUGGCUGUGUGAAUGAACUUAGUACUGAAACAUGUAAUUUUGCAGUUUUAAUUUGAUUUGACUUUUUUUGCGUA